AGUAGCUGGGACUACAGGAAGUUGCAGAAUUGGCUUUGGUAAAAUGUGAGAGUAAACUUAUAAAGAGGAAGACAUGGAAUCCAGGAAUGAGAUGCAAGAUAGGAGAGUGGGAAAGGAUGCCCUAGGACCACUGCUGGACCAGGUCUAAAAAGUAACCAGUGUACUGAAGGACAACAGAUUGAAGAGUCUAGGUAAAAAAUGAACUGACUACCUGAUAUGUAGUUAUGUGUGGAAAAAGUACUAUUGGGGCUCAGAAAAUGAUACCCCAAAGUAUGGUGCUUUGGCAUGCUGAGUACUUUGAACUAAAUGAGAUUAGAGAAGGCCUCAGAAGACAGUUGCUCUCUGACCUUCUCU
rnacentral:lncRNA from 1 species